UCUACCCCCUUGAGCUCAGCCUGCUGCUGGCAGUGGUGUUGCCUUCAGAGCUGGGUGCCCGGCCAGCACCUGCCAGUAUCAGGCUGCCCUGCCAGUGCUUAAUUUGUGCCAGGGCUGAGUUCUGGCAUCUCUUUCAAUACAAACUAAACACUGGGGGAGACAGCGGGGCCAAGAG